GAUGAACGCUAGCUACAGGCUUAACACAUGCAAGUCGAGGGGUAACAAGGGGAAAGCUUGCUUUCCUUGUUGACGACCGGCGCACGGGUGAGUAACGCGUAUCCAACCUGCCUAUAACUAGGGAAUAACCUUGCGAAAGUAAGACUAAUACCCUAUGAUUUCCUUUGAUGACAUCAGAUUAGGAAUAAAGAUUUAUCGGUUAUAGAUGGGGAUGCGUCUGAUUAGCUUGUUGGCGGGGUAACGGCCCACCAAGGCAACGAUCAGUAGGGGUUCUGAGAGGAAGGUCCCCCACAUUGGAACUGAGACACGGUCCAAACUCCUACAGGAGGCAGCAGUGAGGAAUAUUGGUCAAUGGGCGGAAGCCUGAACCAGCCAAGUAGCGUGCAGGAUGACGGCCCUAUGGGUUGUAAACUGCUUUUAUACAGGAAUAAAGUUAGCCACGUGUGGUUAUUUGUAGGUACUGUAUGAAUAAGGACCGGCUAAUUCCGUGCCAGCCGCCGCCGUAA
rnacentral:rRNA from 1 species